rnacentral:rRNA from 1 species
GACGAACGCUGGCGGCGUGCCUAAUACAUGCAAGUAGAACGCUGAAGGAGGAGCUCGCUUCUCUGGAUGAGUUGCGAACGGGUGAGUAACGCGUAGGUAACCUGCCUGGUAGCGGGGGAUAACUAUUGGAAACGAUAGCUAAUACCGCAUAAUAGUAGAUGUUGCAUGACAUUUGCUUAAAAGGUGCAAUUGCAUCACUACCAGAUGGACCUGCGUUGUAUUAGCUAGUUGGUGGGGUAACGGCUCACCAAGGCGACGAUACAUAGCCGACCUGAGAGGGUGAUCGGCCACACUGGGACUGAGACACGGCCCAGACUCCUACGGGAGGCAGCAGUAGGGAAUCUUCGGCAAUGGACGGAAGUCUGACCGAGCAACGCCGCGUGAGUGAAGAAGGUUUUCGGAUCGUAAAGCUCUGUUGUAAGAGAAGAACGAGUGUGAGAGUGGAAAGUUCACACUGUGACGGUAUCUUACCAGAAAGGGACGGCUAACUACGUG